CUACGUGCCAGCAGCCGCGGUAAUACGUAGGGGGCAAGCGUUAUCCGGAUUUACUGGGUGUAAAGGGAGCGUAGACGGAGUGGCAAGUCUGAAGUGAAAACCCUGGGCUUAACCUGGGGACUGCUUUGGAAACUGUUAAUCUAGAGUGUUGGAGAGGUAAGUGGAAUUCCUGGUGUAGCGGUGAAAUGCGUAGAUAUCAGGAAGAACACCGGAGGCGAAGGCGGCUUACUGGACAAUAACUGACGUUGAGGCUCGAAAGCGUGGGGAUCAAACAGGAUUAGAUACCCUGGUAGUCCACGCUGUAAACGAUGAAUACUAGGUGUCGGGGAACAAAGCUUCUCGGUGCCGUCGCAAACGCAAUAAGUAUUCCACCUGGGGAGUACGACCGCAAGGUUGAAACUCAAAGGAAUUGACGGGGGCCCGCACAAGCGGUGGAGUAUGUGGUUUAAUUCGACGCAACGCGAAGAACCUUACCAGGUCUUGACAU
rnacentral:rRNA from 1 species